UACGUAGGGUGCGAGCGUUAAUCGGAAUUACUGGGCGUAAAGCGUGCGCAGGCGGGCUUUUAAGCCAGACGUGAAAUCCCCGGGCUUAACCUGGGAAUGGCGUUUGGGACUGGAAGUCUGGAGUACGGCAGAGGAGACUGGAAUUCCUGGUGUAGCAGUGAAAUGCGUAGAUAUCAGGAGGAACACCGAUGGCGAAGGCAGGUCUCUGGGCCACUACUGACGCUGAGAAGCGAAAGCAUGGGGAGCGAACAGG
rnacentral:rRNA from 1 species